AUUGAACGCUGGCGGCAGGCCUAACACAUGCAAGUCGAACGGAGUGGCGCACGGGUGAGUAAUGUAUAGCUAAUCUGCCCUACACUAGGGGACAACAGUUGGAAACGGCUGCUAAUACUCUAUAGUGUAGGAUGAGGCUAUAUUGUAUCAGCUAGUUGGUGAGGUAAUGGCUCACCAAGGGUAUGACGCAUAACUGGUCUGAGAGGAUGAUCAGGCACUCCUGAGCUGAGACACGGUCGAGACUCUUACGGGAGGCGGCAGUAGGGAAUAUUGCUCAGUGGGGUAACCCUGAAGCAGCUACGCCGCGUGGAGGAUGACACUUUGCGGAGCGUAAACUCCUUUUGUUAUGUAAGCGGUACCUAACGAAUAAGCACCGGCUAACUCCGUGCCAGCCGCCGCGGUAAUAC
rnacentral:rRNA from 1 species